rnacentral:misc_RNA from 1 species
UUAUUUCUUGUAUUUGAUUCAGACACAUAGGCUUAUUGCUGCAUAAAAGCGACGCCGAAGCGCCGAAGCACAUGUUGCUUCCACAGGUUUGAAGGUUGAAGGCCUCAUUGGCCAUUCAGUAAUGAUCCCUCCGCAGGUUCACCUACGGAGA